GACAGAGGUUGCAAACGUUGUUCGGAAUUACUGGGCAUAAAGCGCACGUAGGCGGUUCGUUAAGUCAUGUGUGAAAUCCCUCGGCUCAACCGAGGAAUUGCGCCUGAUACUGGCGGGCUAGAGAUCGAUAGGGGUGAGUGGAACUCCAGGUGGAGCGGUGAAAUGCGUAGAUAUCUGGAGGAACACCGGUGGCGAAAGCAGCUCACUGGAUCGAUACUGACGCUGAGGUGCGAAAGCUAGGGUAGCAAACGGG
rnacentral:rRNA from 1 species